AGAGUUUGAUCAUGGCUCAGAUUGAACGCUGGCGGCAGGCCUAACACAUGCAAGUCGAACGGUAACAGGAAGCAGCUUGCUGCUUUGCUGACGAGUGGCGGACGGGUGAGUAAUGUCUGGGAAACUGCCUGAUGGAGGGGGAUAACUACUGGAAACGGUGGCUAAUACCGCAUAACGUCGCAAGACCAAAGAGGGGGACCUUCGGGCCUCUUGCCAUCAGAUGUGCCCAGAUGGGAUUAGCUUGUUGGUGAGGUAACGGCUCACCAAGGCGACGAUCCCUAGCUGGUCUGAGAGGAUGACCAGCCACACUGGAACUGAGACACGGUCCAGACUCCUACGGGAGGCAGCAGUGGGGAAUAUUGCACAAUGGGCGCAAGCCUGAUGCAGCCAUGCCGCGUGUAUGAAGAAGGCCUUCGGGUUGUAAAGUACUUUCAGCGGGGAGGAAGGUGUUGUGGUUAAUAACCGCAGCAAUUGACGUUACCCGCAGAAGAAGCACCGGCUAACUCCGUGCCAGCAGCCGCGGUAAUACGGAGGGUGCAAGCGUUAAUCGGAAUUACUGGGCGUAAAGCGCACGCAGGCGGUCUGUCAAGUCGGAUGUGAAAUCCCCGGGCUCAACCUGGGAACUGCAUUCGAAACUGGCAGGCUUGAGUCUUGUAGAGGGGGGUAGAAUUCCAGGUGUAGCGGUGAAAUGCGUAGAGAUCUGGAGGAAUACCGGUGGCGAAGGCGGCCCCCUGGACAAAGACUGACGCUCAGGUGCGAAAGCGUGGGGAGCAAACAGGAUUAGAUACCCUGGUAGUCCACGCCGUAAACGAUGUCUACUUGGAGGUUGUGCCCUUGAGGCGUGGCUUCCGGAGCUAACGCGUUAAGUAGACCGCCUGGGGAGUACGGCCGCAAGGUUAAAACUCAAAUGAAUUGACGGGGGCCCGCACAAGCGGUGGAGCAUGUGGUUUAAUUCGAUGCAACGCGAAGAACCUUACCUGGUCUUGACAUCCACAGAACUUUCCAGAGAUGGACUGGUGCCUUCGGGAACCGUGAGACAGGUGCUGCAUGGCUGUCGUCAGCUCGUGUUGUGAAAUGUUGGGUUAAGUCCCGCAACGAGCGCAACCCUUAUCCUUUGUUGCCAGCGAUUAGGUCGGGAACUCAAAGGAGACUGCCAGUGAUAAACUGGAGGAAGGUGGGGAUGACGUCAANNNNNNNNNNNNNNNNNNNNNNNNNNNNNNNNACCACGUGCUACAAUGGCGCAUACAAAGAGAAGCGACCUCGCGAGAGCAAGCGGACCUCAUAAAGUGCGUCGUAGUCCGGAUUGGAGUCUGCAACUCGACUCCAUGAAGUCGGAAUCGCUAGUAAUCGUGGAUCAGAAUGCCACGGUGAAUACGUUCCCGGGCCUUGUACACACCGCCCGUCACACCAUGGGAGUGGGUUGCAAAAGAAGUAGGUAGCUUAACCUUCGGGAGAGCGCUUACCACUUUGUGAUUCAUGACUGGGGUGAAGUCGUAACAAGGUAACCGUAGGGGAACCUGCGGUUGGAUCACCU
rnacentral:rRNA from 1 species